UGGAUCCAGACUUUGAUCAUGGCUCAGGAUGAACGCUAGCGGCAGGCUUAACACAUGCAAGUCGAGGGGCAGCGCGGCGGUAGCAAUACCGUUGGCGGCGACCGGCGCAAGGGUGCGUAACGCGUGAGCAACUUGCCCUUUUCAGGGGGAUAACCGGUGGAAACGCCGACUAAUACCCCAUGGUCCCCGUAGGUGACAUCGCCUUUGGGGUAAAGCUACGGCGGAAGAGGAUAGGCUCGCGUGACAUUAGCUGGUUGGCGGGGUAACGGCCCACCAAGGCGACGAUGUCUAGGGGUUCUGAGAGGAAGGUCCCCCACACUGGAACUGAGACACGGUCCAGACUCCUACGGGAGGCAGCAGUGAGGAAUAUUGGUCAAUGGCCGUAAGGCUGAACCAGCCAUGCCGCGUGAAGGUGAGUGCCCUAUGGGCGUUAAACUUCUUUUGCAGGGGAGCAAUAAGGGCCUCGUGAGGUCCGACGAGAGUACCCUGCGAAUAAGCAUCGGCUAACUCCGUGCCAGCAGCCGCGGUAAUACGGGGGAUGCGAGCGUUAUCCGGAUUUAUUGGGUUUAAAGGGUGCGUAGGCGGCCUGUUAAGUCAGCGGUGAAAUGUCCUCGCUCAACGAGGAAAGUGCCGUUGAUACUGGCGGGCUGGAAUGCGGAUGCCGUUGGAGGAAUGUGUGGUGUAGCGGUGAAAUGCAUAGAUAUCACACAGAACACCGAUUGCGAAGGCAUCUGACGAAUCCGCGAUUGACGCUGAUGCACGAAAGCGUGGGUAUCAAACAGGAUUAGAUACCCUGGUAGUCCACGCUGUAAACGAUGAUGACUAACCGUCGGCGAUACACUGCCGGUGGCCAAGCGAAAGCGAUAAGUCAUCCACCUGGGGAGUACGGCCGCAAGGCUGCAACUCAA
rnacentral:rRNA from 1 species